rnacentral:lncRNA from 1 species
UAUUUCAAGUUAGGUAAAUUAUUUCAGCCCAAAAAUAAACGCUUGCAGACCCUCUUCUUAUAAGAAGGGAUAACCCAAAUUUCUCCCCCUCUCAGCUUAUGAGGAGGCUUCACCAAAACCAAACUGACCAUGGUCAUAAAGAUAUAAUUAAGCUUCUUCUUAGGUAAAUUUUUUGUGAUUAUAUUUGAUCCACUCAUUUCAGCG